UCGAGAAUCUUUAGCAAUGGGCGAAAGCCUGACUAUGCGACGCCGCGUGAGGGAUGAAGGUUUUCGGAUCGUAAACCUCUUUCGAUGUAAAAGAAACUUCGCUACGAAAGUAGCGAACUGACGGUAUUCAGAGAAGAAGCCACGGCCAACUCCGUGCCAGCAGCCGCGGUAAUACGGGGGUGGCGAGCGUUACUCGGAUUUAUUGGGUGUAAAGGGCAGGUAGGCGGCUAUAUAAGUUGGAGGUGAAAUCCUUUGGCUCAACCAAAGAACUGCCUUCAAAACUGUAUAGCUUGAGGCUAGAAGAGGAGAGCGGAAUUCCCGGUGUAAGGGUGAAAUCUGUAGAUAUCGGGAGGAACACCAGUGGCGAAAGCGGCUCUCUGGUCUGGCCCUGACGCUGAGC
rnacentral:rRNA from 1 species